rnacentral:rRNA from 1 species
GGGUUGUGAGGUUAAGCGACUAAGCGUACACGGUGGAUGCCCUGGCAGUCAGAGGCGAUGAAGGGCGUGCUAAUCUGCGAUAAGCGCCGGUAAGGUGAUAUGAACCGUUAUAACCGGCGAUACCCGAAUGGGGAAACCCAGUGUGAUUCGUCACACUAUCAUUAACUGAAUCCAUAGGUUAAUGAGGCGAACCGGGGGAACUGAAACAUCUAAGUACCCCGAGGAAAAGAAAUCAACCGAGAUUCCCCCAGUAGCGGCGAGCGAACGGGGAGGAGCCCAGAGCCUGAAUCAGCAUGUGUGUUAGUGGAAGCGUCUGGAAAGGCGCGCGAUACAGGGUGACAGCCCCGUACACAAAAGCGCAUGUGCUGUGAGCUCGAUGAGUAGGGCGGGACACGUGGUAUCCUGUCUGAAUAUGGGGGGACCAUCCUCCAAGGCUAAAUACUCCUGACUGACCGAUAGUGAACCAGUACCGUGAGGGAAAGGCGAAAAGAACCCCGGCGAGGGGAGUGAAAAAGAACCUGAAACCGUGUACGUACAAGCAGUGGGAGCACAGGUUUACCUGUGUGACUGCGUACCUUUUGUAUAAUGGGUCAGCGACUUAUAUUCUGUAGCAAGGUUAACCGCAUAGGGGAGCCGGAGGGAAACCGAGUCUUAAUUGGGCGUUAAGUUGCAGGGUAUAGACCCGAAACCCGGUGAUCUAGCCAUGGGCAGGUUGAAGGUUGGGUAACACUAACUGGAGGACCGAACCGACUAAUGUUGAAAAAUUAGCGGAUGACCUGUGGCUGGGGGUGAAAGGCCAAUCAAACCGGGAGAUAGCUGGUUCUCCCCGAAAGCUAUUUAGGUAGCGCCUCGUGAAUUCAUCUCCGGGGGUAGAGCACUGUUUCGGCUAGGGGGCCAUCCCGGCUUACCAACCCGAUGCAAACUGCGAAUACCGGAGAAUGUUAUCACGGGAGACACACGGCGGGUGCUAACGUCCGUCGUGAAGAGGGAAACAACCCAGACCGCCAGCUAAGGUCCCAAAGUCAUGGUUAAGUGGGAAACGAUGUGGGAAGGCCCAGACAGCCAGGAUGUUGGCUUAGAAGCAGCCAUCAUUUAAAGAAAGCGUAAUAGCUCACUGGUCGAGUCGGCCUGCGCGGAAGAUGUAACGGGGCUAAACCAUGCACCGAAGCUGCGGCAGCGAACGUAUCACUUAAAGCGAUUCAGCGGGUUACGAUUGACGGAGCGAAGCGACGUCAAAGCGUAUACAAAGUCGAGUCGGUUUAAGGAUACGUUCGUUGGGUAGGGGAGCGUUCUGUAAGCCUGUGAAGGUGGCCUGUGAGGGUUGCUGGAGGUAUCAGAAGUGCGAAUGCUGACAUAAGUAACGAUAAAGCGGGUGAAAAGCCCGCUCGCCGGAAGACCAAGGGUUCCUGUCCAACGUUAAUCGGGGCAGGGUGAGUCGACCCCUAAGGCGAGGCCGAAAGGCGUAGUCGAUGGGAAACGGGUUAAUAUUCCCGUACUUGGUGUUACUGCGAAGGGGGGACGGAGAAGGCUAUGUUGGCCGGGCGACGGUUGUCCCGGUUUAAGCGUGUAGGCUGGUUUUCCAGGCAAAUCCGGAAAAUCAAGGCUGAGGCGUGAUGACGAGGCACUACGGUGCUGAAGCAACAAAUGCCCUGCUUCCAGGAAAAGCCUCUAAGCAUCAGGUAACAUCAAAUCGUACCCCAAACCGACACAGGUGGUCAGGUAGAGAAUACCAAGGCGCUUGAGAGAACUCGGGUGAAGGAACUAGGCAAAAUGGUGCCGUAACUUCGGGAGAAGGCACGCUGAUAUGUAGGUGAAGCGGUUUACCCGUGGAGCUGAAAUCAGUCGAAGAUACCAGCUGGCUGCAACUGUUUAUUAAAAACACAGCACUGUGCAAACACGAAAGUGGACGUAUACGGUGUGACGCCUGCCCGGUGCCGGAAGGUUAAUUGAUGGGGUCAGCGCAAGCGAAGCUCCUGAUCGAAGCCCCGGUAAACGGCGGCCGUAACUAUAACGGUCCUAAGGUAGCGAAAUUCCUUGUCGGGUAAGUUCCGACCUGCACGAAUGGCGUAAUGAUGGCCAGGCUGUCUCCACCCGAGACUCAGUGAAAUUGAACUCGCUGUGAAGAUGCAGUGUACCCGCGGCAAGACGGAAAGACCCCGUGAACCUUUACUAUAGCUUGACACUGAACAUUGAGCCUUGAUGUGUAGGAUAGGUGGGAGGCUUUGAAGUGUGGACGCCAGUCUGCAUGGAGCCGACCUUGAAAUACCACCCUUUAAUGUUUGAUGUUCUAACGUGGACCCGUUACCCGGGUUGCGGACAGUGUCUGGUGGGUAGUUUGACUGGGGCGGUCUCCUCCUAAAGAGUAACGGAGGAGCACGAAGGUUGGCUAAUCCUGGUCGGACAUCAGGAGGUUAGUGCAAUGGCAUAAGCCAGCUUGACUGCGAGCGUGACGGCGCGAGCAGGUGCGAAAGCAGGUCAUAGUGAUCCGGUGGUUCUGAAUGGAAGGGCCAUCGCUCAACGGAUAAAAGGUACUCCGGGGAUAACAGGCUGAUACCGCCCAAGAGUUCAUAUCGACGGCGGUGUUUGGCACCUCGAUGUCGGCUCAUCACAUCCUGGGGCUGAAGUAGGUCCCAAGGGUAUGGCUGUUCGCCAUUUAAAGUGGUACGCGAGCUGGGUUUAGAACGUCGUGAGACAGUUCGGUCCCUAUCUGCCGUGGGCGCUGGAGAACUGAGGGGGGCUGCUCCUAGUACGAGAGGACCGGAGUGGACGCAUCACUGGUGUUCGGGUUGUCAUGCCAAUGGCACUGCCCGGUAGCUAAAUGCGGAAGAGAUAAGUGCUGAAAGCAUCUAAGCACGAAACUUGCCCCGAGAUGAGUUCUCCCUGAGACUUAGAGUCUCCUGAAGGAACGUUGAAGACGACGACGUUGAUAGGCCGGGUGUGUAAGCGCAGCGAUGCGUUGAGCUAACCGGUACUAAUGAACCGUGAGGCUUAACCUUACAACGCCGAAG